rnacentral:lncRNA from 1 species
CACUACCCCCAUUCUUAGACACCAAUAUAUUGAACAUUUCUACCUCUACCUAGAUAAUGUAAAAAAAGUUUGAAGCUUUAUCGACUUUGGCGAUGGAAGCUCAUCUCUAUCACUUUCUACGCUAGGGUUUGUUCUCUCCUCUCCUUACUCCUUAUUCCACCAAAAAUUUACGUACUCUCACUUUUCCAUUCUAUUUAAAUAAAACCUAAUUUAUUUUAUUUUAAUAAUUCCACUAAUGUCCCCCAAUUCUCACUAAUUCUACUGACCACCCCAUAUUUAAUUAAUU